AGUGAGCGCUGGCGGUAGGCCUAACACAUGCAAGUCGAACGGCAGCACAGUAAGAGCUUGCUCUUACGGGUGGCGAGUGGCGGACGGGUGAGGAAUACAUCGGAAUCUACUUUUUCGUGGGGGAUAACGUAGGGAAACUUACGCUAAUACCGCAUACGACCUACGGGUGAAAGCAUGGGAUCUUCGGACCUUGCGCGAUUGAAUGAGCCGAUGUCGGAUUAGCUAGUUGGCGGGGUAAAGGCCCACCAAGGCGACGAUCCGUAGCUGGUCUGAGAGGAUGAUCAGCCACACUGGAACUGAGACACGGUCCAGACUCCUACGGGAGGCAGCAGUGGGGAAUAUUGGACAAUGGGCGCAAGCCUGAUCCAGCCAUACCGCGUGGGUGAAGAAGGCCUUCGGGUUGUAAAGCCCUUUUGUUGGGAAAGAAAAGCAGCAGGUUAAUACCCCGCUGUUCUGACGGUACCCAAAGAAUAAGCACCGGCUAACUUCGUG
rnacentral:rRNA from 1 species